UCCGGCUUAUCACCGGCGGUUUCUUUAGAGUGCCCAACUAAAUGAUGGCAACUAAAGACGAGGGUUGCGCUCGUUGCGGGACUUAACCCAACAUCACACGACACGAGCUGACGACAGCCAUGCAGCACCUGUGUUCCCGCCAGCCGAACUGAAGGGUGAGGUCUCCCCCACCCACACGGGACAUGUCAAGGGCUGGUAAGGUUCUUCGCGUUGCAUCGAAUUAAGCCACAUGCUCCGCCGCUUGUGCGGGCCCCCGUCAAUUCCUUUGAGUUUUAGCCUUGCGGCCGUACUCCCCAGGCGGGGCACUUCAUGCGUUAGCGCCGGUACUCCAAGGGUCGCUCCCCGGAGCACCUAGUGCCCAUCGUUUACGGCGUGGACUAC
rnacentral:misc_RNA from 1 species